UACGUAGGCAGCAAGCGUUGUUCGGGGUUACUGGGCGUAAAGGGUGUGUAGGCGGUUGUUUAAGUUUGGUGUGAAAUCUCCCGGCUCAACCGGGAGGGUGCGCCGAAUACUGAGUGACUAGAGUGCGGGAGAGGAAAGUGGAAUUCCUGGUGUAGCGGUGAAAUGCGUAGAUAUCAGGAGGAACACCGGUGGUGUAGACGGCUUUCUGGACCGUAACUGACGCUGAGACACGAAAGCGUGGGUAGCAAACAGG
rnacentral:rRNA from 1 species